rnacentral:rRNA from 1 species
AAGGGCACCACAAGAACGCGUGGAGCANGUGGCUUAAUUUGACUCAACGCGGGAAAUCUUACCGGGUCCGGACAUACUGAGGAUUGACAGGUGUUUAUGUGCUAUUUACGCUGUGGGAAUUUUUUUUUUAAAUUUUCCUAUGGCGAGCAUAUUAUAAAUAUGCUAGUCCUUUCAUGAUUGUGUGAUAGGUGGUGCAUGGCCGUUCCUAGUUCGUGAAGUGAUUUGUCUGCUUAAUUGCGUUUCGUAAUAAGGGUGUUCUUCUUACUAUUAAGUCGUAUGAUUUAUUUUUAUAAAAAAAUUUUUUUUUUUUUAUUAAAAAUUUUAAUCUUCGCUUAUUUCGGUAGAAAACACCUUGAAGGCAACGAACGUGACCGCAGCCCCUCGUUACUCCAGGAGAGGGGAUGGUUCUCUCGGCCGUGCGGAUAAAUCCUUAUAAUUUUUUUUUUUUUAAAAAAGAUUAUAGGGAAGUACGGUAGAAGGGCCAUUUUAACUCUUCAUUUUUUCAUAGGAGACAACUAGGGGGACCGCUAGUUUUCUGUCAAACUAGAGGAAGAAUGCGGCAAUAACAGGUCUGUGAUGCCCUUAGAUGUUCCGGGCCGCACACGUGCUACAAUGAUUAUUGCAGUGAGCAUCUAAUUUUUUUCUGUUUGGAGUUUUUAGGCUCUGGAACCCUCUGGGUGCCCUAGGUCUAGCUCCUAUACAGGUGGGUUAUUCAAGAUGUGUGGUAUUUUUUUUUAAAGGUAUCAUACUCUUGAUAACCCUGUUGAACCUACUUCGAAAGUAAGUAGGCAAACAAUUCGAAGUAAUGAUUUCCUUUUUUCUUUUAAAAAAAAGCACUAAUUUUCAAUGUUAUCCUAUUAUUGUUUUUUCAUUUUUGGCGGUAAUAGGGGGCGAUGGUUCUUCACGGGAUCGUCGUUUUUUAUUGCCGUUUUAUAAAUGUUAUAAACAGGGAUAAUCAUGUGCUCCAUUAGUUCGUGGUGGGGACAGACCAUUGUUAAUUGUUGGUCUCGGUCUCAACUAGGAAUGCCUUGUACGGGUCUUUGGUUCAACAUACCACCCGGAAUACGUCCCUGCCCUUUGUACACACCGCCCGUCGCUCUUACCGAUGGACUUCUCUGUGAGUUUGAGGGACUGGCCGGCUUUUUUUUUUAAAGAGUUUGGCUAUGGAAACUCAUGCGAACAGUGUGGUCUAAAGGAAAGAGAAGUCGAACAAGGCA